rnacentral:misc_RNA from 1 species
GAUGAAGAACGCAGCGAAAUGCGAUAACUAAUGUGAAUUGCAGAAUUCAGUGAAUCAUCGAGUCUUUGAACGCACAUUGCGCCCCCUGGUAUUCCGGGGGGCAUGCCUGUCCGAGCGUCAUUGCUGCCCUCAAGCACGGCUUGUGUGUUGGGCUCCUUCCCCCCGGGGACGGGCCCGAAAGGCAGCGGCGGCACCGAGUCCGGUCCUCGAGCGUAUGGGGCUUUGUCACCCGCUCUGUAGGCCCGGCCGGCGCCAGCCGACAACCCAUCAUCCUUUUCAGGUUGACCUCGGAUCAGGUAGGGAUACCCGCUGAACUUAAGCAUAUCAAUAAGCGGAGGA